rnacentral:rRNA from 1 species
GAUCCUGGCUCAGGAUGAACGCUAGCGGCAGGCUUAACACAUGCAAGUCGAGGGGCAUCGGGAGUAGCAAUACUUGCCGGCGACCGGCGCAAGGGUGCGUAACGCGUGAGCAACAUGCCCGUAUCAGGGGGGAUAAUCCAUGGAAACGUGGUCUAAUACCCCAUAGUAAUUAUGUAAGGCAUCUUAUAUAAUUUAAAGCUUUGGUGGAUACGGAUUGGCUCGCGUGACAUUAGCUGGAUGGUAAGGUAACGGCUUACCAUGGCUACGAUGUCUAGGGGUUCUGAGAGGAAGGUCCCCCACACUGGAACUGAGACACGGUCCAGACUCCUACGGGCGGCAGCAGUGAGGAAUAUUGGACAAUGGAUGGAAAUCUGAUCCAGCCAUGCCGCGUGCAGGAAGACGGCCCUAUGGGUUGUAAACUGCUUUUGUAUGGGAGCAAUAAGGGCUACGUGUAGUCCGAUGAGAGUACCAUACGAAUAAGCACCGGCUAACUCCGUGCCAGCAGCCGC